CUCGCCACCUACUGCUGUGAACACAUAUAUCCGUUUUGGACAUUAUUUCCUUUCUGACCAACUUAUUCAUCACUGUGCGUAAAUAAAAAAAACUACCACAUCUUGUAUGGAUAAAUGGACAGUUAAUUGGAUAAUCACAGCUGAGUGACAUGGCACAGAAUUGCAAACAUUGUUAAUCUCCAAUCAACAUUAAAGAACCCAAAUUGAG